ACUGUAAUCCUGUAGCCCCAAUUUUAAAUCCCUCAAAUUAGGACGAGAUGAAUCAAAGUGAAUGAUUAGCUGAUAGUAAAUGUGAAGUUGAAAAACCUGUAGAUCAUAGAAGCCAAGAAUGAGCAGUUCAACAUCCUGAGGCUCUGGGAAGAGAUUGGAGGUUUCUUAUAAAUGUGAGUGAGCAAGAGUGAUGAAUUCAUCUCUGCUUUUCUAUUUAGGACUCAACAUUGGUCCUGUUGUAGCAGGAGUGAUUGGAGCCCGCAAACCUCAGUAUGACAUCUGGGGAAACACAGUCAAUGUGGCAAGUCGAAUGGACAGUACAGGUGUCCCUGACAGAAUUCAGGUGACUACAGACAUGUACCAAGUCCUGUCAGCUGAAAACUAUCACUUGGAGUACCGGGGACUGGUUAAAGUCAAAGGCAAAGGAGAAAUGUAUACAUAUUUCCUGAACGAAGGACCAGACAUCAGUUAGCAACGACAGAAACACCAAAAAAAACUAUACUUAUCAAAAUUCUUGGAAAUCCUGUGCCCUACAUGUGAUUGCGAGGAAUGGACUGAGGAUAUACAAUGUCAGAAUCACAGCUGGGUGACGUUCUCGACUUCAACAGGACAAACACCAGACAGAGACCUUUUCAAAAGAACACACCCAUUCCCCACUUUCCCAGCAAAAAUAUUUAGAAGAAAAUGGGAACAGACAAACUAAGGUCAUUCAGCAUUUCAAUCCUGCUCUGCAUUUCAUUGAGAUUGUGGCUGAUCUGAGGCUGAACUCCAUCCCCCCAUCAUGUUAUAAAAGUCAAAGGCGCAAAGACCAUGACAAAGACUCUGGCCAGCAAUCCAAUUGAAUAAUUGUUCCCCUCCUAUCACUUCCAAUGUAACACAACCAAAGAAUAUAUAUUAAAUAAUAGUGUUCUGGAGACUUUAGUGUGUUAACGACAACCACAAAUACACAUACAUAUACACACAUAUCAUUUACAGAUACAGAUGUAUACACACAAACACUUGUAUGUACAUACACAUAUGCAUACACAGUUACAUAUACACAGACACAAAAGCAUUCACAUAAACAAUCUUAAACAUUCUGUCUUACAUAUACAACACAUAUAUACACACUAAUUUAAACACAUACAGAUACAUCCACAUGCACACAUACACACCUUACACUUGUGUACACUAAUGGAAGCAAAUGUAUAUACAUGCAACACACACUAAUCACUUACAUAUAUGCAUACCUUACAAUUUAACAUGCAAACAUACAUAAGCAAACAUUUACAUGUAAAUACAUUUACACACAUACGUUUACAUGUAGAUACACACAAAUGAACACAGAUUUUUACAUUUUUACAUAAACACAUAGUUGAAUAUGCACAUCUGCAAACAUGUACUCGCUCAAACUUUCAGGCAUACACGCAUGCAAACAUUUAUAUAUACAAAGACUUACACAGAGGAGCAAGGCCCCAAUGGGAUGAAACAUAGACUCAGCAGAAUACAAGAUCGAUGCCAGUAGCAAGUUACGGACAUCCCAGCUAUACUUUGAUGCAUUGGGAAAAUGCAGGGAACUGCCAUCAGUGCCAACAUGACACAUUAGAGCACCCAGUCUGAAUGGGCUAAAUUCAUGCCAGGUGUCGUUCCCACCAUGGUACACCUGGCGGAAACCAGGAUCACUUGCUGAUGAUUACUCUCAAAGUGUUUUCUUGUUCUUCGUGGAUUCAGCAGACUACUUGGGGCACUGUUGAGAGUCCGACUGUGGGUCUACAGCCAUGAGAACCUUUGAAUAUUCUUCUGACUGCGCCUUCCACACCACAAGGGGCAGGGGGCCAGAAAUAAUUUUGAAUUUACCACUUGUUAUUUUAGUUUGUAAUGUUAAAACUUCAGACUUAGCAGAGCACUAGAAUUCUAUAUUUUGUAAUGAUAAUAGCAGACGCUAUGUACACCAGUGUAUAUUAUUCUGAUGUAUUCAAUGCUAUUACAAGGACUAAGUGCAGCGCUCUCUCUGUGUAAUUCUCUCUCUCCCAUCACACAUUAUCUUCGAUUGUAAUAUGGCUUCAUUGCAUGUGGGUCAAAGGACUUACUGAUCUCUGACCAGCCCUCACAUAUCCAACACUUUUGAACACUAACACUUCACUCCCCAUCCUCCUGAUUUCCUUCCCUUCAUUGUUAAAACAAUACCUGAUUCCAUGGGCACGUUUCCACUGUUUGGGUAGCCCGCAAUUAAUAUUUUGUGAACGGAGAGGGUCAUUUAUGGGUCUCUGACUGCUGGAAUGUAAUUGGUAAGAUAAAAUUUUGUGAUUUAUAAGAGGGACAUGCACUCCUUUUUUAAUCCACAUCUUGCAGACAUUAUGGUAAUUUCCCAUGGAAAUGGAAAUGUGUUCAAUAAUUUAUUACAAACUGUAUUAAACAAGAUACUGCUUCACUGGAAA